rnacentral:misc_RNA from 1 species
AACGCAUAUUGCGCCCUUUGGUAUUCCGAAGGGCAUGCCUGUCCGAGCGUCAUUACACCUCUCAAAUCUCCGGGUUUGAUGUUGGGCGACGCCCGCUACGGGGGCCAGCCUUAAAGCGAAUGGCGGUUUCCAACCAACCUCGAGCGUACAAGUAUCGCUGACGGUGGACGGUUGGGGGCCUGCCCUCCAGCAUAAGCUUCUCAAUGUUGACCUCGGAUCAGGUAGGGAUACCCGCUGAACUUAA